AGUUUGAUCCUGGCUCAGAACGUACGCUGGCGGCACGCCUAAUACAUGCAAGUCGAACGAAGUAGCAAUACUUAGUGGCAGACGGGUGAGUAACAUGUGGGUAUCUUCCCUUUGGCCUGGAAUAACACGAGGAAACUUGUGCUAAUACCGGAUAAGUCUUUACGGAGAAAGCUUUAUGCACCAUUGGAUGAGCCUGCACUUGAUUAGUUUGUUGGUGGGGUAAUGGCCUACCAAGACAAUGAUCAAUAGCUGAUUUGAGAGGAUGAUCAGCCACAUUGGGACUGAGACACGGCCCAAACUCCUACGGGAGGCAGCAGUGGGGAAUCUUGCACAAUGGGGGAAACCCUGAUGCAGCGAUGCCGCGUGAGUGAAGAAGGCCUUUGGGUUGUAAAGCUCUUUCGUCGGGGAAGAAAAUGACUGUACCCGAAUAAGAAGGUCCGGCUAACUUCGUGCCAGCAGCCGCGGUAAUACGAAGGAACCUAGCGUAGUUCGGAAUUACUGGGCUUAAAGAGUUCGUAGGUGGUUAAAGAAGUUGAUGGUGAAAUCCCAGGGCUUAACCCUGGAGCUGCCAUCAAAACUUUUUAGCUAGAGUAUGAUAGAGGAAGCAGAAUUUCUAGUGUAGAGGUGAAAUUCGUAGAUAUUAGAAAGAAUACCGAUUGCGAAGGCAGCUUCUGGAUCAUUACUGACACUGAGGAACGAAAGCAUGGGUAGCGAAGAGGAUUAGAUACCCUCGUAGUCCAUGCUGUAAACUAUGUGUGCUAGACGUUGGAAAUUUAUUUUCAGUGUCGCAGCAAAAGCAUUAAGCACACCGCCUGGGGAGUACGACCGCAAGGUUAAAACUCAAAUGAAUUGACGGGGACCCGCACAAGUAGUGGAGCAUGUGGUUUAAUUCGAAGAUACGCGCAGAACCUUACCAACACUUGACAUGUUCGUCGCAACUUUAAGAGAUUAAAGUUUUCGGUUUGGCCGGACGAAACACAGGUGCUGCAUGGCUGUCGUCAGCUCGUGUCGUGAGAUGUUGGGUUAAGUCCCGCAACGAGCGCAACCCUCACUUUUAGCUGCCAUCAUUAAGUUGGGCACUCUGAAAGAACUGCCAGUGAUAAGCUGGAGGAAGGUGGGGAUGACGUCAAGUCCUCAUGGCCCUUACGUGUUGGGCUACACACGUGCUACAAUGGCACUUACAAUAGGAAGCAAGAAGGUGACUUUAAGCAAAUCCUAAAAAGGUGUCUCAGUUCGGAUUGUACUCUGCAACUCGAGUACAUGAAGCUGGAAUUACUAGUAAUCGCGGAUCAGCGCGCCGCGGUGAAUACGUUCCCGGGUCUUGCACACAC
rnacentral:rRNA from 1 species